UACUUGCGGUCCAAGUCGCAGCCACAUUUAUUUGGUCUAAAACAUCCGUAGCUUGCUUGGUAAGUUUCCUGUGAAAUCUUAAGUCUUAAACUUAAGGCGUGCAGGAAAUACUGCUUUGCUAGAGACUGGAAGACGUAAGAAGUACAUCUAAAGUAGCGGUAAAAUGUGUUAAUCUUAGGUGGACUCACAAUAGCGAAGGCAUCUUACGAGGACAGUUCUGACAGUAAAGGAUGAAGGCUAGGGGCGCAAAGUGG
rnacentral:rRNA from 1 species